CAAUCGUUUCUCCCCAAAUUUAAACUCACUGAAGAAACGGAAACCCUCUCCACGCCUUGCCAUCUCCUGCCACACUUCAAAGGACGAUACCGUCUAUGCUCCGGUAGCAUUUCCGUCGAAGGUUUGGUUGCCUCCCGCUUCACCAUUUUCGACCACGCUUCGAAUGAAGGUUGUCACCACUCCGGGAGCAAUUCCAUCCAAGUUUCAGCGGUCACGCUUGACCAUCUUCGACCGGCAGCGAAAUCGGACAACAAUUGUCUUAUUCCUCACGCCAUUUUGGAGUUGGUUGCUGGACAAAGGCACGUAGUGAAUUCAUCCCCAAUUCUUUAAUUUUUGCCAGUGUGAUAAGUAGUAUGAAACUAAAAAUGGUUGUUAUGCAUUCAUCAGUCCAAAAAUGCAGACACCGAAAGCUGUUGUUAAUUUAUUUUUAUUAUUUUUUAUUUUUCUGUUACUUGGCUAAAAAAUGAUUGUCAGAUUCAAUUAUGUUUAGAGGGGGAAACAUUAUCUUGUAGCAAGAAUAGUUAAAUUUUUGGUGUAAAAUCCAAUUCUUUGGAUAAAACAUUUAUCAAGUUCAAACAUUACUGCAAUUGAGUUAAUUGUAAACUGUGAUUUAUUUUUAUUAUAGAAUGGGAGGAAUGAAUAUUGGAAUGUGUCACAGCUGUAGAUCGAAGGGCUACUUCUUUGCCGAAUGCCCACGAAAAUGUCGAUGCCCAAAUUGCAAGCAUGAAUUUGAGAAGUGCUUUGUAGUGGAGAAGCAGAUGGUCAAUAAAGGGCGUUUAUUUCUUUGUUGCAACGAGAAAUGUGGAUUUUGGGAGUAGGUUGUGAAAGAUGAAUCAAGCAGUUAAUCCUCUAACGACAAUGCUUCUCCAGUUUACCAUGUGACAAAUGACACUGUUUAAGAAAUGUCACACACAUUCCAAUAUCGAGUUCGCCUCAUCAAUGAAGAAGACCAACAGAUUUCGGUGAGCAUGAGAAUGUGCAAGGCAUAUGGUAGUAUGGAAGUGAAUGCAAAAGGGAAGGGGUCGAUGUGAUUAUUAGAUAAACCUUAGCACCUGGGUAUUGACAUAACAUUUGGCAACGUAGCAUUAUGAUGCGCAACCCUAUGUAAACUAAUUGAAUGAUGGGUUUGUGUGCCAUUUUGCUGGCCACAUUUGUAAUGCCAUGUCUCGUUUGCAAAUUUCUUACUCGUUCAUGUGAAUGUUUAUAUUAGUUUAUUAGUUGUGCG
rnacentral:lncRNA from 1 species